ensembl:lncRNA
CACACACACACACACACACACACACACACAAAUAAUAAGUCUCUAUAUCAAUGCAUUUUUUAUUUAUUGACUAAUGUCAUGGACAUGACAAUCAUCUGAGCCAUCAUCAUUCAACCUGACAGCCAUCAUUGGGAUUACAGCCAUGACCCCUGGUGAAAGCAUGAAGCCUCAUAGUCACCACCCUGGUGACAGCAAGAGGCCUCAUGGGGUCACCCCCCUGGUGACACAGUGAGCCUCAUGGACCCGGUCCAGUUCAACCUCCCGGUCUCCUGAUGGGUUAGGGUCAGGGUUAGGGUUUACCAUAGCCCUGACCCUGACCCUAACCCAUCCUGGUCUCUGGAGGAUGUUGUGAACACAUGUGGUCGUCAGGGGAGCCUUCCUCGCCCAUUGUUCUACAUCUACACAUAGCAACUACAUUGUUUGGACAAUUCAUGUAUUCAUGGUUCUGAAGCCAUCCAGCUGCAUUUAGCUUGUUCUUCAGCACAAGCACGAGAACCAGGAGUCCUUUCAUCCAGUGAACCCGAACUGAGCGCAGAUCUUCACAGCUGAGCUGUAGUCGUGAUCCGAGGGGAGUCAGCCCAUGAAAGAAUCUAAAUGCAGCGGAGAACUGAACUGAUGAACACAACGUAUUUUUACAGUGAACCACAAUCUUGUGCCAUAAUAGAAAAAUAUUCCUGUGAUGUUGGUGGUGUCAUGUUGACAGACAUGAAACACUUGCUUUGUUCUCGAUGCGUUGUAAUGACGGACAAAUCCUUUGGACUAUAAGGAAACACUGUUUUCAAGAUAUCAUAUUUUUACACAUUUUAUUGAUAUAGUUCAUUGUCAUUUUAUAGCCGCCUUUCGAAAAAGAAAUAUAACAAAAGCUACAUUUAAUCAAGGUUUAUCGCUUAUCAUCGUUAACGCUCUAGAGAUUAUGUAAAGCCAUAACAGAACAUGGAGUCUUGAAACAUUCAAAACUCAUACGACAAACUGGCGAGAUUCUUUUCUUGACAUUAGCUUUUUAACGCAAUACAAAGUAAGUGCCUAGCACUAAGCUCCAACAGUGCAGAGGUGGGAUAUAUCGGUGGCCAUAUUGCUUUGAUAACACACAUUUAGUUGGGGGAAGGAGGAAGAAAGUGUAUUCUUGCUACAACUGAAAUGUUCUCUUAAUGCUGCAGUUUCUUUAUUGAUGAGGAGACUUUGCUGCCACCUGGUGGCCGCUACCUCCUCAAUGGCGGGAGGUUCGAACAACGCGUUCAUGCUGAAAUGAAAGAAGACAAAGCCAAAAGUUGUGUCGUCUCGUUUCAUGUGUCAUAGCAACAACCGGUCCAGUUUGGAUCACAGGGGAAUGAGAUGAGAUUCCUUUUGUUUCCUGAGUAAAUCCAGCCUUUUUCACAUUUAGUUGAUUAUCUUUCUUUCAACAUAUUUGCAUCGGCAAAAUGGAAGCCUCCACCUGCUCACCUGUGUAGCUGUGUGCGUUCGCCAUGUCGAAAUGUGUCUAUAGACUCUCUUCAAAUGACUCGCUUUGGCAUGGGGGGAGAAGGUACAGUGUUUAAGAGAGGGAUGGCGUCAUAGCAUACGUGAGAGGCAAGUAGCAUGAUAUGUUGUGACAGAAGUAUGACAUGUGACACGUGGAGGCAGCGUUUCUCCUGAGAGCAACACAGAGCGUAAACAUGAAUGCACCCCCCAUGGGAACGCGGUACAUGGUCCUCUCUACAUGGUCCACUCUGUACAUGGUCCACUCUGUAUAUGGUCCAGCUGUACAUGGUACUGUACUCCUGCUUGCAUACUAGUGUGUGAGAAGCGUGUCCUGUGAUGUCAUACUAGUGUGUCAGGGGCGUGUCCUGUGAUGUCAUACUAGUGUCUCAGGGGCGUGUCCUGUGAUGUCAUAUUAGUGUGUGAGGGGCGUGUCUUUUGAUGUCAUACUAGUGUCUCAGGGGCAUGUCCUGUGAUGUCAUAUUAGUGUGUGAGGGGCGUGUCCUGUGAUGUCAUACUAGUGUGUGAGGGGCGUGUCCUGUGAUGUCAUACUAGUGUGUGAGGGGCGUGUCCUCUGGGGUCUUGUGUAUGUGGGCGGCGCCAGUGGUUUCAAGCGUUGGAUUAUUCAAAGCGUCUCAUGAAUGGAGCUUUUGUGUCUCUACAGCUGAGCAUGCACACAAACUGCAUGUAUGUAGUUAGAGAUACGUGUGUGUGUGUGUGUGUGUGUACAUACACAUAUGCAGGUCUGUGUGUGUGUGUGUGUGUGUGUGUGCGUGUGUGGCACAGAGCGGUGUUAUCUAUGAGGCUGAUAUGGUAAAAAAAGAUUCAACAAUCAGUUAAUGGUUUCCACACAAUCCAACCCCAAUAAAAACAAGACUAAAGCAGACAGAAUGUACAUCACUGUAGCUAGUGAUCACUGUUUUGAUGUACUUCAACGUGUACCUCACCAGCAAAGAAAGGCUUGAAUUAGAAAAACAUAUUCACCUAAAAAAGUAACUACUUAAAAAAACACAAAUGACAUUGUAAUCAUUAAAUGGAAGUCCUUUGUAAUUAUCAACACAGUCUCUGGAAGCAUGAAACAAAAACAAAUGUCUGUGCGUAGGAGGGUGUGUUUGCCUUUUUGAAGGUCUUUUUCAAACCAAAAGAGCUUUUGAAACCGUGAUUGUCCAAAAGGGAAAGAUUGGGAGCUGAGCAGGUCCAGUGACUUGUGUACCAGGUACCACAUCACCUUCAGAGAGACAACCCCCCAGCUCUCUACCCAGACCAGGUACCACAUCACCUUCAGAGAGACAACCCCCCAGCUCUCUACCCAGACCAGGUACCACAUCACCUUCAGAGAGACAACCCCCCAGCUCUCUACCCGGACCAGGUACCACAUCACCUUCAGAGAGACAACCCCCCAGCUCUCUACCCGGACCAGGUUCACCUUCAGUGGGACAACCCCCACCUCUCUACCCGGACCAGGAGAAACGACCGUCCCGAGUGAGCAGCUAGUCUCUAGGCUGACCUUCAUCUCCUCCCCUCCCGUCUCUCCUGCUCUACUGGCUCACAGCAGGCUUCUCUUCGCCCCUAGCCCAGGGCCCUAGGUCCAGGGCCCUGGACCUAGGGCCCUGGACCCUGGCGUCCCUCAAUGGGUUCAGUGGCUGUGGGGUCCUGGGAGGAGCAGUACGACCAGACGGCCACGGCUGGGCUCCCAGUUCCUUUCCUGUUCUCUGAGCCCGGCUGUCUGCUGUGGACGUGCGGUCAGGUGACCAGGAGACCGGGCGGUCAGGUGACCAGGAGACCGGGCGGUCAGGUGACCAGGAGACCGGGCUGGAGCUCUGAAUGAACGUCCACGUCAUGAACUGUACAGGUCUUUUUUGUGCUCAGAAGAUAUUGAAUUAGUGACUCUAUAUUUGUUUGAAUACUUUUUGAGUGUGCUUUGCGUAUCAAGCGUGUUGGGCUAGAGGUUAGGGUUAGGGUUACGGAGCUAGCAGGCUCCCUGCUGCCGCAGAGCUCUCCCUUCAUACUGCCCUAACGACCGCAGGGCGCUGGUCUCUGCGCUGGUUCGGCUCAUCCCAGUGCUCCCAGUGAGGAGAGUAUGAACGAUGGACUCAACAGUCACGAGUCAAACUGCCACGUUGGUUUCUGCUGCUCAUCAGUAAGAAUUAAUGCUAUGAUGUGAAGCUAGGAGCUAAGGAGCUAAUGUGACUAGCGACACGUUGAGCUAGGAGCUAAUAUGGCUAGUUGUCAUGGAAACAGUAAACAAAGCACAGAGACGCAGUGUUUUCUUCCUCCCAGUGCGGGCGAGCUGGGCUAGUACAUGGGUCUGGUCCAUACAUGCAGCACUACGCCAGUGAGAGUGUAAUAAUAUAUAUCAUGACACACAGUCCUUAUUUUGUUUGCAUAUACUUAGUAGUGGAGUGGGCGUGUCCCAGCGUGAGGGGGUGGAGCAGAGAGGUAGGAGGGUGGAGGAAGAGCAGGAGCUGGAGCAGGAGGAGCAGACAUCGCAGACCAAUGUGUAAAAAAGAGCCAGAGCUGAUGGGCCGUGGUCUGGGGACCCUCUAGGAGCCCAACCUGUCGAGUCAGACCCCAGGAAACCAACGCUUGACCUCCUCUCUCCUGCCCUGAGGGUCCUGACGGUCCCGGGCCUCAUCCCGGCUCCAGAGGGUCUGGAGGAGGCCCGGGACCGACCCUAACCCUAACCCUAACCCUCUCUCCUGCCCUGAGGGUCCUGACGGUCCCGGGCCUCCUCCAGGCUCCAGAGGGUCUGGAGGAGGCCCGGGACCGACCCUAACCCUAACCCAACCCUCUCUCCUGCCCUGAGGGUCCUAUGGCGGUCCCGGGCCUCCUCCAGGCUCCAGAGGGUCUGGAGGAGGCCCG